rnacentral:lncRNA from 1 species
AAAAUUUGAGCCCAAAAUUAAAAGUCAGCCCAAUCUCACUAGGUUUUCCCUUUCUCUCUCUCUUCACCUCUUUUUUCUUAUAUCGGUGUUUUGUUUUUCCCAGCAGAUUUGUUUUCUAAUCUGCUCCUUUUUUCUCUCAACAAAUCUUGGUGAUUUGUUACCUAAUUCUUAGUGAGUUUGGUAGAUGAUUUGGGCGUAUAAGUGCACCCUUUUCUUUUUUCUGUGUGAGAUGUGAGAGACGAAAAAAAGGCGUGGAAAAAUAGAGACAGAAAAAUAGAGUCGAGAAAAAUACUUUGUGUAUUUGAGAGGGAAAAAUAGAGUGAAAAGAGAGAAACCCUUUUUUUGAGAAGAAAAGCUCGAUUCUUUCAAUGAAUUCGAGCUUACUUCUUUAGGGAUAAACCGGUGAGAUUAGGGUUUGAAUUUGGGUUUCGUUUUCUUUGUUUUUCCAUUGGAGUACACUGUGUGUGUGCGUGUGUGUGGCUGCCGUGAGUGUUGGAGGCCCCACUUGGAUCUUGGACGAGGACUCGGAGAUUGAGGGCUGAGCCGGAAAAUCGACGACCGCCGGAGCAACCGUCGGAGAUAUAUCGUUCGCAAUUCUGUGUGAAUUGCAUGGUUCUGUUCCUUACCUUUGUCUUAUUCAUUUUUCAGCAUAAAAUAAAUUAUAUUCUAUGUUAAUUGGCAUUAAUAUUUAGAAUAUAAUAUAAUGGAUACGUGACUCACAUUCUGCUUAUGUAUGUUGCUGAUUGUUGUUUUCUGUUUUCGGUAAUUGCUGUCAUCAAUUUAGUUAUUAAUUAAGUGUGUUGAUUAAUUAUAUUAUAUUAUAUUUUAAUUGUUUCUAAUAAAAU